GACUCCUACGGGAGGCAGGCAGUGGGGAAUAUUGGACACAAUGGGGGAAACCCUGAUGCAGCGACGCCGCGUGGAGGAAGAAGGUCUUCGGAUUGUAAACUCCUGUUGUUGGGGAAGAUAAUGACGGUACCCAACAAGGAAGUGACGGCUAACUACGUGC
rnacentral:rRNA from 1 species